UCAAAUCGACGGCCACAUCAAUAAAAAAAAUUUACGGCUCGUGUGUUAUCAUUUUGAAAAUUUGGAAAAUAUGAUGGAGGUGUCUGGUAAACGGCUGAGCUCUGAAUUCGACCAAGCAUCCGACGAAGUUUGUCAUCCGUGCCAGCCAUGUCAAUAUUCAGGAACACAGACGAAUUCGAAGGGUUUUUGCAAAGAAUGCGAGGAAUACAUUUGUGGACAAUGUAUUAAGUACCACCAAAGUCUGAAGGCAACAAGAGGUCAUACUAUUUUGGCAGAAGAGGAAGAUUUUAAACCUCUAGGACAAUUCCAAAGCAAAACUUGGAGCGUAAAUUGUGAAGUACAUGGAGACGAGAAAGUAAAGUUUUUUUGCCCAAAUCAUUCAAGGCUUGGAUGCAACGUUUGCAUGGUUUUAGAGCAUAAAAGCUGUGACGUAGCCUAUAUUCCUAACGUUGCUCAGGAUUUUCGGGCAAGCGACACUUUCCGCAAAUUUUCAACUCAAAUAUCGGAUUUCGAAACUGGUGUUGAAACGCUAAGACACACACUGAACAAAAAUGGAGAGAACGUAGAAACUUUUGGUUUGCAGGAAAUAGAAAAGCUGAAAAGGUUCCGAGAUGAAAUCAAUGCUCUUCUUGAUGAAAAGGAAAUCGCUUUGCUAGACAAAAUAAAGAUUUUGAAGAAAAAAAAUGAAAGCUCAAAGCAAGGUUUGCAAUUCAUUUGGUCGGAAUUUCAAACACUAAAGAAGGUGUUUGAUGUUAAAGAAAAGGAUAGCAGCAAGUUUUCAUAUCUUACCAUUUAGCGCACGAAAAUCUAAUGGAGAUGCAAAAUGACCUGCACAGAAUUUCAUCAGAAAGUGAACAGCUUCAAGAAUAUCAAUUUGACAAGGAUGCUGAAUUGUUACAAAUGUUAAAAUCACCGACAGCAUUUGGAAAUAUAUCAUUGGAUGAAGAUGGAACCUUGAAAAUUUUCAACAUGAUUUGUCGUUAGUCACACGCAACAAAGCAAAAAACAAAAGAAUAUGUUUUAAGGCUCAAUGUGACGUAUGUGACAAGUUCAUCGUUGAGCCAUGCUACAAUUGCUACAUCACUUGUUUUAAUUAUGAUUUGUGACAGGAUUGCUUUGAUGACAACAUGCAUGCUGAACAUGGCAUGAAGCAAUUGAAGUAUCCAAGCGUCGCCUACAAUGGUCGUUCACUUAAUUUAAACUUUGUCCAUCGUGGGAUUGGCUGUGACGGCUGUGAAGUGAUACCCAUCAUUAGAAGUCGUUAUAAAUGCAAGACGUGUUUUGAUUACGAUUUGUGUGACAGCUGUAUGAGUUCCAAAAUUCAUCCCAACCAUAAGUUCGAAAAGAUCACAGGAUUCGAGGACAUCAAACAAAUGUCAACAGGAUCAGCUAAAAAUUGCUAAACGUAUUUUGUAAAGGCAAACAGCAAUGACGAGCCAAAAAGAGCAACAUAUCAUUGCUGUUCACUAAUUACUACUGUUAACAAUGUUGCACUUGGCAUUGUAGUUCAUAGUGUUGAACUUAUUAUUGAUAUAAACAGUGUUGCACUUAUCAUUGAUCUUAACUGUGUUGCACUUAUCAUUGCUGUAAACAUAGUUGCACUUAUCAUUUCUGUAAAUAGUGUUGCACCUAUCAUUUAUGUAAACAGUGUUGCACUUGUUAUUGCUAUAAACAGCGUUGCACUUAUCAUUUCUGUAAACAGAAUUGCAAUUAUCAUUGCUGUAAUAAGAGUUGCACUUAUCAUUGCUUAAAACAGAGUUGCACUGAUCAUUGCUGUUAACAGUGUUGCACUUAUCAUUGAUGAUAACAAGGAUUUAUUUAUCAAUGAUGCAAACAGAGCUGCUCUUAUCAUUGUUGUUAACAGAGUUGCACUUAUCAUUGCUAAAAACAGUUGCACUUAUUAUUGUUGUAAACAGUAUUGCACUUAUCAUUUAUGUAAACAGAGAGCUUUGCAAUUAUUAUGGCUUUAACCAGUGUUGCACUUAUCAAUUCUGUAAACAGAAUUGCACUUAUCAUUUAUGUAAACAGAGUUGCACUUAUCAUUGCUUUAACCAGUGUUGCACUUACCAUUUAUGUAAACAGAAUUGCACUUAUCAUUGCUGUAAACUGUUGAUAGAUGAUAACCUUGGAAAGACAACUCUCACAGUUGCACCAUGUUGAUUACUUGCAGUAAUCAAGAUUUGUGGAUAAUAUAAAUUUUAUUAUACGAUGAUUAUUUCAGUAAUAUCAGUAAACCCAAUAUAUCUACUUUCACUUCGAAUCACCUUCUUGCAAUUUUGACCUUGACCGCGCACUCGGCUAUGACUUAAAUACACGAAGCGUUUUCAUUAGACGGCUACCAUAGACUUUCCUUGUUUUAAUGACGUAACUGGAAAAACAUUCAAAUGUUAUCCAAAGUGAAAGUAGAAAUACUGCAACAAAAAACGUUCGAUUUGGAUAAAUACGCGUCUUACUCAACGAGUUUUUAACGGUAGGAAUGAUAUUUCAAGCUUCUCUUUGUAAUGCAUACGAAAAGUUUGCAUGUCAGUCUGUUUUUAAAGUGUUUUAGGGGGGAAAAAUCCGUUGUUUUUCAACCUCCCGGUUCUUUCCUAAUGGCGAAUUUCAGCUUCUGGUCGGUGCAUUUUGUUUGAAUAAUAUGCCGUAAAGGUCAAUCUUACUAGCAUAAAAGUUAUAUUUUUCUUGUAGAUGGGAAUCUUACCUUAUCAGAACAGUAACAAUUAUUAGAUUAUCUCAAUUAUUUUAGGAUCUAUGCUCUAUUGAUUAGGUCCGUUUGGAAUUGAUGAUU